UACAUGGGGUGCAAACGUUGCUCGGAAUUAUUGGGCGUAAAGCGCACGUAGGCGGUUCGUUAAGUCGGAUGUGAAAGCCCUGGGCUCAACCCAGGAAGUGCACUCGAAACUGCGAGGCUAGAGUACUGGAGAGGUUGGUGGAAUUCUCGGUGUAGAGGUGAAACUCGUAGAUAUCGAGAGGAACACCGGUGGCGAAGGCGGCCAACUGGACAGAUACUGACGCUGAGACUCGAAAGCGUGGGGAGCAAACAGG
rnacentral:rRNA from 1 species